rnacentral:misc_RNA from 1 species
CCCCUCUUAAGCCUUGCUUAGUCUUGGGCACUACUGCCUAGUAGGCCUUAAAUCCAGGGUGGACCUCUACAAGACCUGGGCGUACUAGCAGCCCGCCGUCAGAUCUUGUAGGGGGUACCAACUAUUCCGAU